AUUGAACGCUGGCGGCAGGCUUAACACAUGCAAGUCGAGCGAGCGGCGGACGGGUGAGUAAUGUCUGGGCAACUGCCUGAUGGAGGGGGAUAACUACUGGAAACGGUAGCUAAUACCGCAUACCAUUAGAUGUGCCCAGAUUGGAUUAGCUAGUAGGUGGGGUAAAGGCUCACCUAGGCGACGAUCCCUAGCUGGUCUGAGAGGAUGACGAACAACACUGGAACGGAGACACGGUCCAGACUCGGACGGGAGACAGCAGUGGGGAAUAUUGCGCAGGGAGCGCAAGCCUGAUGCAGCCAUGCCGCGUGUAUGAGGAAGGCCUUCGGGUUGUAAAGGACUUUCAGCGGCGAGGCGUUACCCGCAGAAGAAGCACCGGCUAACUCCGUGCCAGCAGCCGCGGUAAUAC
rnacentral:rRNA from 1 species